rnacentral:rRNA from 2 species
CGAUAGUGAACCAGUACCGUGAGGGAAAGGCGAAAAGAACCCCGGCGAGGGGAGUGAAAAAGAACCUGAAACCGUGUACGUACAAGCAGUGGGAGCACCCUUUGGGUGUGACUGCGUACCUUUUGUAUAAUGGGUCAGCGACUUAUAUUCUGUAGCAAGGUUAACCGAAUAGGGGAGCCGGAGGGAAACCGAGUCUUAACCGGGCGUUAAGUUGCAGGGUAUAGACCCGAAACCCGGUGAUCUAGCCAUGGGCAGGUUGAAGGUUGGGUAACACUAACUGGAGGACCGAACCGACUAAUGUUGAAAAAUUAGCGGAUGACCUGUGGCUGGGGGUGAAAGGCCAAUCAAACCGGGAGAUAGCUGGUUCUCCCCGAAAGCUAUUUAGGUAGCGCCUCGUGAAUUCAUCUCCGGGGGUAGAGCACUGUUUCGGCUAGGGGGCCAUCCCGGCUUACCAACCCGAUGCAAACUGCGAAUACCGGAGAAUGUUAUCACGGGAGACACACGGCGGGUGCUAACGUCCGUCGUGAAGAGGGAAACAACCCAGACCGCCAGCUAAGGUCCCAAAGUCAUGGUUAAGUGGGAAACGAUGUGGGAAGGCCCAGACAGCCAGGAUGUUGGCUUAGAAGCAGCCAUCAUUUAAAGAAAGCGUAAUAGCUCACUGGUCGAGUCGGCCUGCGCGGAAGAUGUAACGGGGCUAAACCAUGCACCGAAGCUGCGGCAGCGACACUGUGUGUUGUUGGGUA